UUGUCAAACAAAUUUCUGUCAAACAAUUUUCCCUUCCCGUCAGGUUUCUUUUUCAUAACUUUAAAUUAAUGCUUCAAAGUAGUUUUAAAGAUCUGCUCCAGUAUUGUGGGUUUCAUAUCGCCAGUGAUCUGUAAGAUUCGCCACCGGAAGAACAGAAAGGAGCGCGCGGUACACAUCAGCGACCUUAAGCACCAGGAUCUGGAAGAGAAUGAUGUCAAGGACGUGGAUGCGAAUCCUCCAGGAGAAAACAUGGAAAGUAUGCAGUAGAGCCAACUGUACCCGAGAAUGGACGGGGCCAGUCAUCCGUUUAAGAGUCAGUCCAAAUGGAGACAUUCCACGAGCAAAUCGGAAUACUGCGUCCCAACAUGCCUAAAGUCGACUGUUUAUGCGUCUGGCCACCGCCAGAGUCUACAGCCCCAACCCUAAUCCAACUUACCGGCAAAGUAUUGUUUAUAGUCAUCAAAGCUUAGGGAAGGGGGCGCCUCAAUCACAAGGCGGUCGAUCGCCACUCGAUGGGCAAAGAUAUCGGAACUAGCAGCACCUGACGGGUCACACUACAGAAAUCCUUUUUUUUUUAUUAAGGCAUACAGGGAAAUCUUGGAGCCCCUUUGUGUCCCUCUUUUCUAAUAAUUCAGCCCAUUUGGGCUAUAGUUAGCUUUUUCUUGUUACGGCCUGCUGAUUUUGAUGGGGCAAGGCCGGCUAGCCAGUCAUCAACAGGGCGGAUUCUUCCCCUGUGCCCACAGGUCGCACCAUAAAUUCCACUCGGCAUGGAAUCCACAAAAACAACAAAGAAACAUCAACAGAAACUACAAGUAAAGGACUAAUACCGGACGACACGACGCAGAUUUGGGUCUUCGAUGGAAAGGACCCUGACGCACCCAUCCCUACCAAGGAUCCGUCUAUUUCCCAUUUGAGGAUCUCCCUGGCAUGUGGUUCAUCGGCUUCCUCCAGGCUUCCAUCGCCCUGGGCCAAAGCAAAUACGAUACAAAAAAAAAAAAAAAAAAGGACGACGAAAGAGCGGGAGAGGACAACAAAGACGCGAAACUACUGCACGGGCAUUGACAUAUAAAUAUAUAUAAAUUAAUAAAAUUAAUAAACCCUCA